GCUAUUUUGGCAGAUUAGUGCAAUAAAUUUAGAAUUUAUUUAUGUAAUUUAAAAUUACAAAUAGUA
rnacentral:tRNA from 3 species